rnacentral:rRNA from 1 species
GUAGGUGGCAAGCGUUGUCCGGAAUUAUUGGGCGUAAAGCGCGCGCAGGUGGUUCUUUAAGUCUGAUGUGAAAGCCCCCGGCUCAACCGGGGAGGGUCAUUGGAAACUGGGGAACUUGAGUGCAGGAGAGGAAAGUGGAAUUCCACGUGUAGCGGUGAAAUGCGUAGAUAUGUGGAGGAACACCAGUGGCGAAGGCGACUUUCUGGCCUGUAACUGACACUGAGGCGCGAAAGCGUGGGGAGCAAACAGGGAUCAGAUACCCUGGUAGUCCACGCCGUAAACGAUGAGUGCUAAGUGUUGGGGGGGUUUCCGCCCCCUCAGUGCUGCAGCUAACGCAUUAAGCACUCCGCCCUGGGAGUACGGUCGCAAGACUG